GAAAAGCAGGUUUCAGUUAGGAAGGAUGUCAGUUCAAUUGCCCAAGUAAGUGGAUUUUUCUCUCCCAGCUCAUCAAAACCUGUUCCUUUCUGCUCUUAAAGCAGGUGUGAGGACCACCUCCCGGAAUACCUUGAUAUACCCAUUCCACCUGCCAGGGAAAGUGCCCCAGUGAUUUUUUUCUUGGGCUGUGGUCUCUGUCUGUCAUCCUGGUCUCAUUUCAGCCUUGAGGAUGGGGCGCAUGAAGGCCUCCUGCCUGCAGAGGCGACUGCAGUCUUCCUGCAGUAUCUGAGCGGACUCUUGGCGGCCCUUCAACCCCAAUGUCCACACCCAGAGCCCCGUGAACAAUGGGGAGCAGAGAACUCAAACCUUUUGCCAGGACCCUUUCUAGCGCCUUGUGGCUGGAGGGGCCCAAGGGGGCGCAUGGCAGCCUCCAGGGGAUGCUGGACUCACCUGCUGACGGCUUCUUUGUCUUCCACUGUGCCUGCUCUCUGGGCUCUAGUCGGCCCAGGUCCUGGCUGGGGCAGCCAGCACCCCUUGUGCCCCUGGCCAGGCUUGCGCACUCCCUGAACGCCUCCCGAGCCGAAGGACCCGCAGGGCUCUGGGCCGUCAGCGGGGCUGGGUUGCCCUGCUCCCGCUGCCCGCCUGCUGGCUAAUUCUGAUUAUUUCUCUUUCUCCUUGCUCUCUUGGGCGCCUUUAUUCCUGACCGUGCAUUUUCUCUGGGCUCGGGAUUAGAAAAAAACCCACACUGCUAAUAUCCUUGUCAGCCUUUUCCUGAAUCAUUGCCGCGCAGCUCCAGGGAGCCACGGGCCAGUGCCUUCUGGCCGGCAGACUCCAUCCCUGGGCCUUCCUGUCCUUGGGGUCCUGGAGCCCCUUCUCUGAGUCUCCUCAUCUCCUGAAGGCAACACCUAGAGUCCCAGAUCCUCUGAGAAACGCCCAGCCGGGGGAAGCAGAUGGGCCUGAGAACUGAGAGUCCAGCUGAGCUUUUCCAUCUCACAGAUGCGCAAUCCGAACCUCAGAGGGCCUGGUGAUUUGCUCAAGGUCACACAGCUACCAAGGGUCAGGACUCCAGUCUCCAAGUGCGUAACUCAGCCUCAAAGCCAUCUCUUGUGGAAGUACCGCCUUCUUAUAGGAGGCAGAUUUAGAAGGCAGAAGAAAGGGGAGCUUUUCCAUGAACUCACCAGGGGCCAUCAGCCGCACACAGUCAGGGCAGAGGAAGGAGA
rnacentral:lncRNA from 1 species